rnacentral:rRNA from 1 species
AUUGAACGCUGGUGGCAGGCUUAACACAUGCCAGUCGAACGGUAACAGGAAUUAGCUUGCCUCUUUGCUGACGAGUGGCGGACGGGGGUGUAAUGUUCGGGGAUCUGUCCUAUUGAGGGGGAUAACUACGGGGAACAGUAGCUAAUAUCCCGCAAAAGCUCCGGGGUUAAGGGUGGGAGUUCUUAGCCACUUGCGAUAAGAUGUGCCCAAGUGGGAUUAGGUAGUUGGGUGGGUAAAGGCUGACCACGCCGACGAUCUCUAGCUGGUCUGAGAGGAUGACCAGCCACACUGGAACUGAGACACGGUCCAGACUCCUACGGGAGGCAGCAGUGGGGAAUAUUGGACAAUGGGGGGAACCCUGAUCCAGCCAUACCGCGUGGAUGAAGAAGGCCUUCGGGUUGUAAAGUUCUUUCGGUGAGAAAGAAGGUUAGUAGGUUAAUACCCUGUCGUUUUGACGUUACUCACAGAAGAAGCACCGGCUAACUUCGUG